rnacentral:rRNA from 1 species
UAGAGUUUGAUCCUGGCUCAGGAUGAACGCUGGCGGUAUGCUUAACACAUGCAAGUCGAACGGGCUCUUCGGAGCUAGUGGCGGACGGGUGAGUAACGCGUGAGAAUCUGCCUACAGGAUGGGGACAACAGCUGGAAACGGCUGCUAACACCCGAUGUGCCGAAAGGUGAAAUAUUUAUAGCCUGUAGAUGAGCUCGCGUCAGAUUAGCUAGUUGGAGAGGUAAAGGCUCCCCAAGGCGACGAUCUGUAUUUGGUCUGAGAGGAUGACCAGACACACUGGGACUGAGACACGGCCCAGACUCCUACGGGAGGCAGCAGUGGGGAAUUUUCCGCAAUGGGCGCAAGCCUGACGGAGCAAUACCGCGUGAGGGAGGAAGCUUUUUGGAGUGUAAACCUCUUUUAUCAGGGAAGAAUAAAUGACGGUACCUGAUGAAUCAGCAUCGGCUAACUCCGUGCCAGCAGCCGCGGUAAUACGGGGGAUGCAAGCGUUAUCCGGAAUUAUUGGGCGUAAAGCGUUCGUAGGUGGUUGCGUAAGUCUUUUGUUAAAGCGUGUGGCUUAACCACAUACCGGCAGGAGAAACUACGCGACUUGAGUAUGGUAGGGGUAACAGGAAUUCCUAGUGUAGCGGUGAAAUGCGUAGAUAUUAGGAAGAACACCAGCGGCGAAAGCGUGUUACUGGGCCAAGACUGACACUGAGGGACGAAAGCUAGGGGAGCGAAAGGGAUUAGAUACCCCUGUAGUCCUAGCCGUAAACGAUGACAACUAGGUGUUGCCCGUAUCGACCCGGGCAGUGCCGUAGCCAACGCGUUAAGUUGUCCGCCUGGGGAGUACGCACGCAAGUGUGAAACUCAAAGGAUUGACGG